GACAAGACCCAGCUGAGAUCUAUGAGGCAUUUAAAGUGGGCCAUGCUUUAUUGGUAAGGCAGGUCAAUCAACAUGUAAUUAAUUUUAAUUAGCACUUCGUUAAACUCUUCACAUGCAGCCAGCUGUUAGCUCCACCAGCAGCAGAAAACACCAUGGCAGCUGCUGUAUGUUGACUCCAGUGAAGCAGCUCUUCAGGAGGCCAUGAGUAAGCUGGGAAAUGCAGGAUCUCUGCAGGAUUGCAGGAGAUAUUUCAUGGCUUGCUGAAAGUUUGCUGAGAUGCAUUAAUCAGAUAAAUGAAGUUGAAAGUCUAUUGCUAAGGUAUGAAAGAGAAGAGAAACCCUUAAACAAACCAAGCUGAAAUGAAAAAGCCAGGGUUCAGGGCCCAGAUGAGCUUGGAAAGAAGAAUGAAGUUAAAAGGCGUAUUGAGUGAGAUCUAUUUCACCACCUUUUUUAUUCACUUACCAGCACCUACACAAUGACUAGUUAAAAUCCUCACGGGGAUAACUGCUGCAUAGAUUAUUAUUUUUUUUCUGGCAGCUAAAGUGAAAUUUUAUUGAUUUGACAGCAUCUCAUAUAAAUCACACACGGAUCUAGAAUACAAGAUUUCACUGACAAAAACUGCAGUUUGAGGGGAACUUGGACAACUACAUCAAUAGUGACUGAUACAGCUGAAUAUCCAGAAGGAAACUAUAAGGCAGUAAAAAGCUUCUCUGGGAAUUCAGAGGAUCGGUAUAUGAGGAAAUAAAGGAUAAAUGUAAAUUUUACA
rnacentral:lncRNA from 1 species